UACAGAGGUGGCAAGCGUUGUUCGGAAUUACUGGGCGUAAAGGGCGCGUAGGCGGCCUUCUAAGUCAGACGUGAAAUCCCCCGGCUUAACCUGGGAACUGCGUCUGAUACUGGAGGGCUUGAGUGCGGGAGAGGGAUGUGGAAUUCCAGGUGUAGCGGUGAAAUGCGUAGAUAUCUGGAGGAACACCGGUGGCGAAGGCGGCAUCCUGGACCGACACUGACGCUGAGGCGCGAAGGCUAGGGUAGCAAACGGG
rnacentral:rRNA from 1 species